CCUACGGGAGGCUGCAGUAGGGAAUCUUCCACAAUGGGCGAAAGCCUGAUGGAGCAACGCCGCGUGGGUGAAGAAGGUCUUCGGAUCGUAAAACCCUGUUGUUAGAGAAGAAAGUGCGUUAGAGUAACUGUUCACGUUUCGACGGUAUCUAACCAGAAAGCCACGGCUAACUACGUGCCAGCAGCCGCGGUAAUACGUAGGUGGCAAGCGUUAUCCGGAGUUAUUGGGCGUAAAGGGAACGCAGGCGGUCUUUUAAGUCUGAUGUGAAAGCCUUCGGCUUAACCGGAGUAGUGCAUUGGAAACUGGGAGACUUGAGUGCAGAAGAGGAGAGUGGAACUCCAUGUGUAGCGGUGAAAUGCGUAGAUAUAUGGAAGAACACCAGUGGCGAAAGCGGCUCUCUGGGCUGUAACUGACGCUGAGGUUCGAAAGCGUGGGUAGCAAACAGGAUUAGAUACCCCGGUAGUC
rnacentral:rRNA from 1 species